ACCAACAUGUUUGUAACAAAAUCCUAAGAACAAAGUGAUAAUGAUUUGAUAAUCCUGAUAAUGAUUUUCCUGAGGGAUACAGCUUUGACUGGCAAGAACUUCAAAAUAUUGCCACAGGAACAUUUUAUACAAACAAGCAGACUGGGCCUUAUCUUGCCACUCACUUCAAAGACAGAAGUUUUAAGUAAGAGAACACACCAGCAGCCUGCAACAAGCAGAUCAAAGUCAUUGCUGCAGCAGAUGCCAAUUUGCUGCAGUGGAAUCCUGACUUGCUGAAACAACAGUUUUCCAGGGAAAAACAAUAAAUUCUGAUGCAGAGGAACCAGAUAUGUCUCCUGGUGCUCUGGAGACAGCAGUGUCUAAACUUUUCAUAUCGCUGUGAUCAUUCUAUCACCGGGGCAGAUGUACAUGCUGUGUAAUAAGCAGAAAUGCAACAUAUUACCAACCAGUAGAAGGACAGAAGGAGCUAAUGCAUUUAUACUCCAGUGUGAUGAAUCAGGAAGAAAGGGACUGGGAUUUGAGCCCACAAUAUGAGCCCAAUAGUACAUUUGAAGCAAUGUAUUCCAGAGUGAGUGAACCAGAACUCAACAAUGGUACUCCUCUCUGUUUCAUUUGGGACCUGGAUCAAGGACAGCAUCAACAGAUAUCUGAGGAUUGUCUGCUCUGUCUGGGAGUUCUGCACAGCACAAUCAGAUGGUCACCCAUUCAGUAAGAAGCACCGAGCACUGGAUCUCACACCUAAUGUUGUUUACAAGUCUUAAUGGCAACACAUCGUGGAAAAGUAUGCAAACUCCACAAUCAUCGUCAUGAAAUAGGAAGCAUGUUUCUACUUCUCUUGUUAUGGUGCCUUCACAAUGACUUUCUUUCAUUCAGGAGUUAGUCUCAAUCCUUUUUUGUCCUUGAACCUUUAUACAUUCCUAUUCCUUUUAAAUCCCAGGGUAUGAUAGCAGCUUUAGGCUGCCUUUGACUUUACAUUGCUGAGAAAAAUGGGUGCUGUUUGCAGCUCACUCCCACCGACUAGUGGUGCACAGUGGUUGUGCACCACUGCAUUGAGACCUAUUUAAAACAUUGCCCCAACUACUGGCCACCAAUCAGUAUCAAGCCUCACUCUCAGCGAGCCUCCUAUCCACGCCAGUUUAAAUUGAGAGAGAUCAAUUAUAUACAGGCUGUGGGAUCGCACAGAGCUUCAUAGUCGUCAUGAGCCAAAGCAGAAAGUUAUGAAUUGCUGCCGAGGGAUGAUGUGUCGAGGUUUAAAGAUCCGUCCAGAGGGAAACAAGUGACUGAAGCAAAAGCAUCAAGGGAUAAGAGACUUCAUCAUUUAUUUUGCGCUUGCUACCUGCAUGUUCUGUGCAACUUCAUUUGCCUAGAGACUACAGAGAAGGGAAUUUAACACUUGAUGACACUGUAUAUGUGCAGAUGUGCUCCCGAGUCAGCAGCAGUCGCAACUCUGCCAAGAUGAAAGACGGAUAUUAACUGGUAUGAAGAAAAUUAUCAGCUGGUUGGAGUGGAUCUCACCGCUCAUCCUGGUGCCUUGUCUUCGGCAGAAGUCUCCCUCCAGCCAGUGACGGGAACAACAACAGGAAAGAUAUGGGAUAAGGGAAGUCAGACACUGACCAGAACUUUUUAACUGAUGCUAAAUUAAGGAACUAUAUCAAAUAUAUUGUCCUAAUUGCAUACAUAGAGUAUUUAACAAAGCAUUGUAUUAUAUCAUGUAUUCCAUGUCCUCUGCAAUGAUGUAAUCCUUAAUAGGGCCUGAUUUAUAAUAAAUAAUAUGAUUCGUUUCUA